AUAAUAAAAUUAGUUAAAAUAUUUAAUUAAUUAAAUUAAUGAUGUAAAUUAGUAUACUAAGUACAUCAUAUUCUAUAAAUUUAAAAAAAUUGUUUUAAACAGAAAAUUUUAUUUAAUUUUUAUAAAAUAAUUUAAUGACAUUAAUUAUUAUGUAAUAAAAUUAGUAACAACAGUAGAAAAAAACAAUUGAUAUUAAUAUUGUCAUUUUAUUCCUCUCAGUGGCAUUUUAAUUUUUUUAUCUGUAGUGAUACUCAAUCAAUAUAAACAUUUUUUUUUUUUUUUUGCAGUUUAUUUUUCCAAUAACUUAGUAACUGUAUAACUCAAUACAAAUGAAUAAUUUUAACUAUUAUGUUAACAUUUUUAUACUUAAUAAGAAAUUGUAUUCAAUAAUAAGUUUUUAAACUAGUAUAUUAAUAAUUUCAUCGUUAUAUAAUCUUAUAUUAUCUAUAUGGAACAUAUCUUUUUAUUUAAUAAAAACAAUUAUUCUAUGCUAAUAAUUUAAUAUUUGAGUUAAUUUUUAUUAGAAAAUAUAGUGUUAUCUACUUAAUUGAAUUAUUUAACAUUUUAACUUGAAUUGUAUUUUAUGUUAUUUGAGUAUAUUUUGAGUACAUUUCAAAAUGUUUGUAUUUAUUUAUUAAAAUAUUUUUAAUUUGGAUGUUUUUAUUUAGAUUCGGCUAUAGACCUGGUAAUAAAUUAUGAUUAAAUAUUCAGAUUUAUAAUAGGAAAGUUCAACAAAUUAGUGUAUUCAAUUGGUAAUAAUAAUAUUAUAUCUAGUUUAGGCCAAAUAUACUAAUUUGAUUACGGGUGCCAAUUUGCAGAUGCCAGAUCAUAACCUACAACAGAAUAUUAAUAUGCAUCUGUAGAUAAAAGAUAGGUAUAUGAUAAUAUAUGACAAUACAAAAAACCACGGGUUUAGAAUAUGACAUAUAUCAAUGCAAAAUGCAUCUUUUUUUGAGUGAUAUUACAUAAUGCUUUCCAAGUAGAUAAUUUGAUUCAUGUAACAGAGAAUUUUUAAACUUAUUUUGCUUUUUUUUUAUAUUUUUGAAUAUUUUAUUUUUAGAGGUAUUUUUUUCUCUCGUUUUACUACAUAUUUGUACAAUGUACAAGCAUGAUAUUAUGUAGUAUUUGUACCUUAUGCAGCCAUCAAUUAAAUAUAUUAGCCAUAUUUAAUUUAUAAUACGACUUAAUAAUUUAAAUUUAGCUAAUUCAAAAUGUUACCCUAAGUUUUCGGUUUUUCAGUCAAUCGGUCCAAAUACAGGCCCUCAGUUAAUACUAUUGUCACUAGUCACAAGUC